rnacentral:rRNA from 1 species
CCUACGGGCGGCAGCAGUGAGGAAUAUUGGUCAAUGGGCUUACGCCUGAACCAGCCAAGUCGCGUGAGGGAAGACUGCCCUAUGGGUUGUAAACCUCUUUUGUCAGGGAGCAAUUGGCGCUACGUGUAGCGUUAUCGAGAGUACCCGGAGAAAAAGCAUCGACUAACUCCGUGCAAGCAGCCGCGGUAAUACGAAGGAUGCGGUCGUUAUCCGGAUUUAUUGGGUUUAAAGGGUGCGUAGGCGGGAUGCAAAGUAGGCGGUAAAAAUGCGGUGCUCAACGCCGUCGAGCCGUUGAAACUGGCGUUCUUGAGUGGGCGAGAAGUAUGCGGAAUGCGUGGUGUAGCGGUGAAAUGCAUAGAUAUCACGCAGAACUCCGAUUGCGAAGGCAGCAUACCGGCGCCCUACUGACGCUGAGGCACGAAAGCGUGGGUAUCGAACAGGAUUAGAUACCCCUGUAGUC